rnacentral:rRNA from 1 species
UACGGGGGGGAGCAAGCGUUGUUCGGAAUUACUGGGCGUAAAGGGCGCGUAGGCGGUUCGUUAAGUCCUGUGUGAAAUCCCCCGGCUCAACUGGGGAACUGCACAGGAAACUAGCGGGCUUGAGUUCGGGAGAGGGAAGCGGAAUUCCGGGUGUAGCGGUGAAAUGCGUAGAUAUCCGGGAGGAACACCGGUGGCGAAGGCGGCUUCCCG